CCAGCCCAGCUCCUGCCCCUCGGCCGUGCGCAGACGCGGAACUGCGGGAGCCCGCGGCGCCCGGGCAGGGCGGGAGAGCUGUGGGGCCUGCCGAACCCUAACCUGGCUCUGAUCAGCAGCUGGGCUUGAAAUUCUGACUCUAGGAACCCCGCCAGGGUGGGCAAUGGAGACCCAGAGGACAGGAGGUGGCGUUCUCGCGCUGACACAGCUAAGGGCUACCAGAGUGUGCCUACUUGGAUUCCUGGUCUCAAGGGCUUUCAGCUGGGUCCAGUCAGGACACAUCUGCUACAGCAUUUGCUUCAUUCUUCCUACCUCCUACGCCCAAAGAUAUCUCAACACACAUGUACAGCUUGAAGAAGUUAUGGAGGAGUCGUCGCCCCAAUUCCCUGGACUUUUGGGGGGCCGAAAGUGGUUAUUCUAAGGUUGUUUUAUGAGGAAUUUAAAAAUGGUUUUAAUUUAACAGAGAGGAAUUAGCUAGAUUGAGUUGUACAGUCAUAAUCUCAUUUGGUAGCUAGGUUACAAUCAUAUCUUUGCUUUGAUGUAGAAUUUAUUUGUCAAAAAAGUUUAAAAGUACAAGGUUUAGAGCCAGUCCUUCUAUUGAGGUCAUUACAAACUUCUCAGUUGAUUACACAUGAGAGUUAAGGGCCAAAUAGCAAAUUCAUGUCUCUGAGUUUAUGAGAGUACUUUUAAGAUAAUAUUUAAGCUUUAAAGGCAACAGUCCAGAUUACCUUAUAUAGAUGUUUUUCAAAACCAUCAGAAAUCCACAAAAUUUGAGAUUUAAAGUUAUUUAUCUUUUGUUGAGGCAUAUCUGUUCCACUUUGGUAGAUUUAAUGAAGAAUUUGACCAUCUCUACCUCCAGGUGAGGCAAUCCUUUGUGGCUAGACAGCCACUGAACAAAACUGCCUGUUUCAUCUGCAGACUAAUACUGUCCAGAAAAGGACAGAUUAUGCAGAAUAGUUGACUGAUAAGUCCUGCCAAGACAGGGUGAUCAGCCCUUCAAAAUCUGCAUUUCAAGAGUCUGUCAGUUGAUUUUGGGCCAGAAGGCUGAAGACUUGAGCUCACAUGUUGCUAACAGGGGACUGUGCUAGUGGAGAUUUGUCUCUACAACCUCUCAGUUCUGGAAGCCAUGUUAGGAUUCCUAUGUGUAUUGAUAUUUGGUCAUUCUCAGAUUUCUGCUGGGGUUGAAGACUCUCAUAGCCUAUCAGGCUGUUUAACUCUGAAAUACAUAUUUUUUUUGGAAAGUUAUCUGAUAGUUUACAAGUUAGCCAAGAUAGAACAUAGAUGUUAAGCCUUUCUUAAGCUGGAAUGGAUAACUAAAUGUUCUGUUUAACUGAUAAAGUGUUGGACUGGGUGUUAGAUAUACUUUAUGCUUUUAAUUACAAAAUGAUAAUAGUUGUGCUCAGCUUAUAUUUGAGAGAAAAGUUUUUUUUAAUUAGACAAAAAGGGUGAUAUAUGGGAUGAUGUUACGGUGAGGCAGGUACAAGAUAGAAUGAGGCCUGUCAUUGGAAGAGAAGGAAGGAUGGUGGGAGAAAAGUUUGAGGGAAGAAGAAGAGGAGGAAACUGGAAUGGGAGGCAGAGAAGCCUUUGAGAGAACAUGGAGACUGAUGUUAAAAUUUCAUGCUGUACCUUUACAGGUUGUUAUGAAUAUUCUUAAGGGAUGGAUGUGAACAGGGUUUUUUAUGUUUAGGUAGGCAAUUAUAUCUUAUCAAUCUGAUCAAAAAGAAAAAAAAGAAAAAAUGGCCCCACUGUUCUAUUUCUUUAUGCCCUAUGCUUGACUCAAGGUAUCAUGCAGUUUCACAAGGCAGGGAAAACCAUAUUGAUCCUUGUCCUCAAAGAUGAAGAGGUGGGCAAAGGGGAGAACAAUUAGAGAAAAUAGGAAAAGUGUACUAUGAUUUACCCUUCGCACUGGCCAACAGGAGACCACCUUUCUUCUGAGACUCAGCCCCACCUUAAUGUAAAAUCCAAGUCCACUACGCCUCAGCUACCCAGGACUAAAGUUGCUAGCUGAAAUGGUGGAAAACCUCUGUGAAUCCUGUCCAGUGUGUGCCUCACUCAGGAUCUGCUCCAUUAGACUCCUGAACUCUCUGCUCCCCGUUAAAUGGGACUGGUGCAGUAUUCUUUAAUGGAGGAAUUCUUAUUUUGUUCUAAAGCCAUUAAAUUAGCAAGGCCCAAAACUUUGAGUUGUGGCAUCGAAAUGAAGGUACUGUCUCCAUCCUGUCCUUUUAUUUCCCAGAAUAUUAGCAUGGUUGUUAUUCUUCCUAACGGGCCAGUACCAAUUAAAAUGGGGAAGAAAAAGAUAGAAGCCCCAUGGAGGGGUAAACCUGAGGACCAUUACGAAGUCCCACCCCCUAGGAAACAAAGCAUCUAGUACCGUGGUUCUUAACCCUCCUAAUGCCGUGAUCCUUUAAUAUAGUUCCUCAUGUUGUGGUGACCCCCCAACUGUAAAUGUAUUUAUCUUGCUGUUUCAUAACUAUAAUUUUGCUACUGUUAUGAAUUGGAUUGUAAAUAGCUAAUAUUUCUGAUGGUCUUAGGCAGACUAUGUGAAAUGCUCCUUUGGCCCCCAAGGGGUCACUACCACCAGGUUGAGAACUGCUCUUCUAGUAUGCCAUUUGGUUGUAUACGCUACCUUCAGAGAUAACGCCUAAAACCCAUAACUCAUGGCUACUUUCAAAUGAUUGGGUGGAGUUGCCAAGGAAUGGAAACCUACAUUGGUGAAGAGAUCCAAAGGAAGUCCAUUCAGAAGGUUCACAACCUAAGCUAUUUUUUUUUUUGUUUUGCAUGUGAAACAACCCAGAGGACUGCACAUUGUCAAGAUGACUCAAAGAUAAGGUAGCCAGAGUUACACAUUCCAGGAUAACUAUCCCAAAACAGAGCUCAUGUGCAGUCCAGUAAAAUAGGAAUUUCUUCACCAGUGUUGACCUGCCAGGUUCUACUGUUGCAUGUCUCUUCUGCCAACAACACAGACUAAUAAUAAUGACACCCUCCCAGGAGCAGCACGCCUGGUACACCAGACAGAAGCCAGCAUCUCCUUUCUGGCAGCAGAUUGAUGACAUUGGACUUCUGUUCUUGAGGCUUGGGUAGAGAAUCAUGCUCACUCAAAAUGCACACAUUCCAGAUAUGAUUAUGUUUCCCCUGUCAUUAGUAUUUCUGCUGACAUCACCAUGAAUAGAUACAUACUUGCAAUGCCUUAAGCAUACUCAAGGCUAGCAUUUCCUAUAACAUUGUAUCUGAUCCAAAAGCACAUUUUACAGCCUGGGGAGUCACCAUGGGUUCACAGGCAUGAAAUCAGUUCAUCAUACAUUCCAUAGCCUAGACAUUACAAUGGACAAAAACUAUGAACUGGCUUAGCGAACAGUGUUCCUGCUCCUUGCAGGGUUGUACGAAGGUGCAGUAUGCACCAAGCAUUAGCGUUACAUGUGCAUACAUGGCUUCAUGUGGGUGGAGCACAUGGGCCCAUGAUAGAUCAAUGAAAAUGAGAGCAAUGUAGUCACUGUAUCCCUCAUAGUACACUAACGUGGGCUUCAGUUUCCAUCUACCCUUUCUGACUCAGAAGUGACUCAAUCAUUGGCCAGGACAGAUCACGUGGCACUACUGAAUAGGAAGAGAGCUAGGAAGUACAGUGUCACUGUGUGUUCAGCAGGCAGUGAGUCAAGAAUGUUUUUAAUAGCACGAAUGACAGUUGUAACCUUUCAGCAGCUAAUUCUAGGUGCUUAACAGGAGGCAAAGACAAGCUAAUACAGGGGCUAUGACCUCAAAGCUGUGAUUAUUACCCAAUUAUCUGAAAGUACACAGUUCUUUACAUGAAAUUUCUCACUGGCUUGGAGAAUUCAGGCAUGUAUUUCAAGUUAUUAACUUCAAUUUUCUCAUCAGCAAAGUUGGGAUAGUUAAUAAUAGAUACUUCAAAGGUUAUGAAGAUCAAAGUAACUAAUACACAGGGACUAAUAUCUAUCUACAUCUUAAUUGUUUUAUUGCUUUUACUGCUAGCGUUAUUGACUUAAGUACUAGUAUCAGGCUGCCACGUUUGCCCUGUAAUUGCAUUUAGAAUCCCAAGCCAUGUAGCUUUCACUUCAAAUGUGUGUUUUCAAAAGGUUUUCCUUAGUCUUGUCGUGGGCUGGAAAGUGCAAAAGAAAAAUUGUCAUUUUUUUUUUGCAACAAAUAAAAACACUGGGAAAUAAUAAGUAAGUAUUAUUUUAAGCAUCUUUAACUUAGGAAAAUUCACCAAGCAUGGACUGUGUUUGUAAUUCCAUGAUCAAAGAGGUCGGCUUCCAUCUUAACCCUGUUAUCAAAGUGGGACUCAGGCUGACCAUCAGUCAGAACUGGAAGCCAGCAUUAUUUAACACCGUAGGUUCACUUCUAGAGACACUUGAUCAUUGUUCAAUGAAUGUUACCCCAUUCUGCGAACGGAAUGGUUUUUGCAACAGCUUGAUGCUGUCAAGUUUGUCUGUAAAGUGCUGGUUUAUUUGUAAACAAAAACAAAUUUCCGUUAUUUUCUAGCCUCUUCUUGCAAGAAAAAAGACUUUCAUCAGAACUUUAUUCAGUGUCAAAGUAAUCGGCAGUUCACUUGAAGAUAUUUUCUUUGCUUAAAGUUGGCAAAGUGAUUUCUGUAAAAUAUUCUGGUGAUCAAGGUAUUGAUUUACAUUCUACUGAGAUCCUUGAAGGAAGAUGUUCUUGGACAGAGAGGGAGCAUAUCAUAAAACUGAGGCUAACGAUGGUUUCCUUUUCUUUUCUAAAAAUAUCUAUAUUGAAGUUUAAUUUCUACAGCAUGUGGUUUGUUAUUUAAAAUGCUCAGCUCAGUGGUUUACAAUCAUUGCUUGUGAGCCACCAACAAUAUAAAUUAUAGAACUUCUUCAUCAUGCCCAAAGGAAGGCUCUGCUUACAAUAACACUCAUCCCCAUGAACUCCUAGGUGCACGUCUUAGAGCUGAAAAUAUAAUUUUUAAAUCUCUAAAUUUGCCCAUUUUUCACAUUCCACAGGAAAUAAAUAAUUAAGAAAUUCGUAGGUCUUUUGUGACAUUCUGUCAUUCAGCAUGCUGUUUUCAAGGCUCAACUCCCAUGACUCUUCAUGCCACUGUAUCAGCUUGAUGCCUUAGGGAAGCCCUCUUGGAACACUGAACCUUAUUUAAUCCUUUCACAGCCAUUCUAUUCUACAUAUGCAUGUAUGUGCAUGUGUGUGCACAUGAGUAUAGGCAUCUCCUGAAAUGUAACAUGUAAUCUGAAAGUUAAUGUUAGUAAUUAAGAUUAGAAAAAAAUGAACGUGUGAUUGCCAGUGAUCAUGUUUAACACAUUAAAUGAAAAGUAAUUGAUGAAUUAGAGGCACAAAAUGAUACAGCUCAUGAAUUUUUUUUUGUUGUUUAAUAAACUCUGAUGUUAUGGAGAGACGUAGAUAUGUCUGUCUGUAUUUCCAAAAGUAGCCCUUUCGUGAAAGUUUGUUAAUUAGCAAGUUGGCCUUUGUUAGAUACUCUGUCUGCCAGCACCUUGACUUGGACUCUAGAACUAUAAAAGAUAAAUUUCUGUUGUUUAUUAACCACCCAGUCCCUGAUAGUUUUGUCAUAAUAACCUGAAAAUUAUUAGUCAUGAGGCUGUUUACUGCUAUAAAAAAUGCAUAAAAAAUGUGAAGUUGCCUUGAAAUCGGGUAAAAGGCAGACACUGAAAGAGACUUGAUGACCGAGCUGAGAAAGAUGAUGGCUGUGAAUCAGCAAUUCCAAAUGAUUGGGCUGGGAGGGCUCGGGAGAGGAAGGAUGUGCGUAUAGUAAACAUCUUCAUGGAGCAGGGUCUCAGCUAGAAAUGAGAAGAUGCUAUUAGAAAGCAGAGGACAGUCUUCUAUAAAGUAGCAAAAACAUAGCUGAACACUUUGAAAACCCCAUGAGAAAUGAAAUGAAACAUUUGGCAAGGGUGAUUUCCAAAGAAAGAAUCAAUGGGGCCUGGUGGUUUAUCCUUGAAUAUGGGAAGAAAGAUGACCUAGAACAGUUACACAAAAGAAAAGUGUAGAAAAAUUUUAGCUUUUCUAUUAAACAAACAAGAAGUCAAACAAAAACUAAACAGCACUAACAACAACAACAACAACAACCAAGAAAUACUUCCUGAGAAAGUAUAAAGAAUAAGGACAAAUUAGAUGGUAAUCCCGUGUGUCUGGAUCUCAUGGAAACCAGCUUCUUUUUACUGGGAUACUGGGAAAACCAGUCAGGAAUCUGGAGAGAAGGCAAGAUCUAUUUUCCUGAACAGAGGCCAUGACCCAGAAGACUUCCGAAGGCCACUGUAGAAGGUUUUCCACGUGUGUGUGUCAAGUUUAAGAUUUUUGAGGGCAGCCUUACUCAAAAGGAAGUGUCAUUGCCCCAGCUGCUGUCCUUGUGAAGACGUUUGUAUUCAGUUCUGGGGCCUCACUUUGUAUUCACCAUAAGUGCAACUCUAGCUGUAGAUGCAGAUUCAUAGAGCAAGUACCUAAGUAAGCUGUUGGGCAAUUGUAUCUAAUAUCCAGAGAUGCCUCGGAGAACUGUAGCAAACAGGUAGAGAACCACCGGUAUACUGGAAAACAAAACAAAACAAAACAGCCCCAAAACAUUAUCUUCUAAGUAGGACAGUAUCCAGUGAGGCCAUGUAAAGAUGCCCAAUUUCAUGGCCACAGAUUAGUCCAACCAAUGGCCUAGGAUUAUGGCUUAAGAGAACAGCAGAUGUGACUACAACCAGUAAGACUGCUAAGCACUAAUCCAGGGGAGCAAGACUUGGAGGAUCAUGUCAAAGGUUUUGAUCAAGCCUUAGGGUCAUACUGCUGGGCCUGUUGUUUACUUGUGUGGAAAUUUUCUCUGCUUUCUUAUUUCUCUGUUUUAAAUGGCAGCGGUUGUGCCGUUCUGUCAGGCUCGGUAUGUCAGAAGUGCAGGAGGUAUUGGAUUUCACAGGUUCAGCGCUCAAUAAGACUCUGUGUCAGAAUGACUUGGACCUUGAUUCUCAUUCAUCUCUGAGCCAGAGAAGACUUAGCCUUUAGACCCUUACACUGUUGAUACCAGACUGAGUUAACACUUUAGAAAGAAUGCAGUUUUAAAAUAGGAAUGUCAUGCUUUUCAGGAUCACUGGGUUUGAAUCUUAGAGCUUGAAUGAUAGUUCCUCUGAGUAGGAAUUAGUUACCAAUGUCUAACAAAUAAACAAACAUGGGUGAGCUUUUGAUGUUGAUUGCUUUGAGUCUUUUGAACUCUGAGGGGGAAGCCAUUUUAAUAUUGUUUCCCUUCCCCACACAGUGUGUUCCAUUUAUUUAGUCGCUUAAUUUCUUUCAAAAACCUUUGAUGUCUCGCACUGUAUAUAUUCUGUCUUUUUACUAAGCUCGUUCCCAGGUAUUUUAUCCAUGUCACGUCAAUGAAAGUGGAAUUGCAAUGCAUACUUUUAUUUUUCAGUUGUUCACUCUUAUUAUAUAGAAAUGAGACUUUUAAGAUGUUGAUUUUUGUUUCCUCUAAUUUUUAGCACUUCCGUUAUUCUGUUAUUAGUUCUAAUAGUUCAGUGAAUCUAGGACUUUCAAUUUUAAAAUCAAGCAACCUAUAAAUAUGGUUUCACUUGUUAUCUUCUGGUAAGGGAGGCCUUAAUUUCAUUUCCUUAAAUAUUUCGUAAGGGUUAAGGAAAUAGAAUUAUAAUGCACAGUGUAUAAUCUAUGUAUCCAUGUGUAUAUCUUUCUACCUCUCCUCUAUCUUCCACCUAUCGAUGUAAAGAGAUAUUUUAUAAAAACAUUGGUUUAUAAGACUAUAAAAGCUCAUAUAUUCCAAUCUCUUCAGUUGACAAACUAGAAACACAAAAUAUUUAAUGAUAAGGGGACAGUGAGAUGGAUCAGUUAACAAAGAUAUGAACAGAGAAGUUUAGAAAGUUUUCUUCUAACCUCCAUAUGUGUGCAGUAGGGCAUGAGAAUGCCCAUCUGCACUGCACAAACUCCCCCACCCACACACACAUGCACACAAAUAUUAAUAAUUAAUAAAACUUUAAAAAUUAAUAAAUAUCCUAUUCUCUAGCUCAGAUUCAGCAACAGUUAUACCUGUUUGGGUUAAAAGGCAGAAACUUAAAUAAAAAUACCAGUGUUCAAGCUUAAGAUCAGCCAGGAAGAUUACCCCUUUCCAUGGUGGACUAUGGCUUUGUUCAGGCCUUUAACAGUUUGGGUGAGAUCUACAUUUCAGAGGAUGGUCUGAUUUAUUCAUGUGACCAAUUUCAAUGUCAAGUUCAUCAAGAGACACUCUCUGAAAUACCUAGACUAAUGUUUGACCAGAUAGCUAGGCACCUCAUGAUCCAGUCAAGUGAGGAGCAUAAAUAGUCAUCCAAAAUCCCAUCUUUGUCAGCCUGGCAGUGAUGAUAUUGCGAUAUAAACAUGAAAGCAUAUUUGGCCUUCAGGACUUCUGUCUAGAACUUUAAAAGUCCUUGUAAUUGUCUAGGAAAAUAGUGAGUGGUAGGGGUGAAAGAAAGAUAUUUUGUAAUACAUAAUAAUCUCCUUUCAACCACACUUGAGUUUAUAAGGCAAUUUUUGCAUGUAUGAAGUAUGGUUUCCAGGGGAAAAAGAUAUAAGAUUAGAAGGCUGGAACUUUGAACCAUGCCUCCCAGUCUCUAGAGAGGGAAGACUGCCCAGAGAUCCACCUAACUAUGAGUGCAUAAUGAUUUAAUUGACCACACCUCUAUAAUAAAAGUUUAUAUAAAACCUAAAGGGUGAGAUUCUGGGAGUUUUUGAAUUAAUGAACAUGUAGAGGAAGAAUGAGCUCAAUGCUGCUGAGGGAGAGGUGUUCUAACAUACGUUGGCUUUACCCUCUUCCACUUAGCUAUUUCUAGGUCAUCUCUUUUAUAAAAUAUCAAGAAUAACUAGGCUGUUUAUCUCACUUCUGUUAGCCAUUCUAUCAAACUCACAAAACCAAGAAUAGCAUCAGGAGAACUUCUGAUGGCAGUUGAGCUGGGCAAAUGCUUUGGGUUAUCUGAAGAAGGACAUCAUGCAAUGGGCAUCUGCAAAGACAGGGGAAGUAUUGUGGGAUCUGACUCUCCUCUGGCUGGUUUCACAACUACAUCCAAUUGUGGAAUAUCCACUUGAUAGUGUCUAGAUAAUUGAACUGAUUUGAUGUGCAGUUGAAAUUAUUGUUGUGUCAAAGUAAAGAACUGAGAGUGUGGAAGAAAAUCAGUGGUUCUCUAUGGCAUCUUUAAAUAUAUCCUUACCCCAUGUUUAAUUCAUUCAUACAGAUAAUAAUACAGUCGUGAUCCUCACUCAUAUGCUACAACUAUCCCAAAUACAACUGUAAAUGCACUAAUGACUUUCUCUGGAAAGAAGAACCAACCAAUCUAAAGUAGUGAUGAUUAUUAUCUUUGAUGAGUGUGUUAAGCAGCUUUUUACUGCUUUUAUACUUGCCAUGAUAUAAUACCAGAGUUAAUCAGAUUAUAAGGAGGAAAGAUCUAUUUUGUUUCAUGGUUCUGCUUGAGGAAAGAUAGAACAUCAUGGUAUAACAGUAACUAAGGCUUUAACACGUGGUUCUUUGGGAGACAUAUACUCAAAUAAUCCAUACCAAAAAAAGUUGCUGAUUUUCAAAUGCUGCAAUAAAUUCCAAUACAUCACAUAAUAAAAGAAUAAAAAAAAAGAAAGCCAAGAUAUUUGCGUUUGACACAUAUAAUAUAUUCAUAACAAAAUAAUAAAUAUUCAUGAAAGUUAUAGUCCACACUGUCUUUAUUUUUUAUUCUACACUUCUGUCAUUACUCUGUAGUCACUCACAACUCAUAUUUACAAUUACCCUGUGACACCUCUGUCACUUUCUAUUCUGUCUUCCCUUUGCCCUAAGCAAGUGCCUCAGCUGGUAAUAUCAUUUUACUUCUGUAUGUGACCCAUGUCUUCAUACCAGACUGGGCUAGACCAUUAGCAUUCUUAUGAGCUUUGACUUGUAAUUUUCUAUUAAUUCCUUAUCAUAAUUGACCUUAAUUAUCUUUAAUGUAUAUUAGUUGUAUAUGCCCCAAAGAUUCCUUUGUCUCCUAGGUGUAAUUUUUGUUUUACUCCUUGAUUAUAUUGUGGCACAGUCUAAUUUCCUCUUGGUUACUAAUAUAAUAGUUAGUAAAAUCAAAACUGAGGCACUUGUCUCGACUCUAAUAAAACAAGUAAAUACCUAAGUAUAGAAAGAAGUGAAUCCCAGGAGGUUCUGAUUACAUGAUAGCAGCUGUCACAAAAGGUGAUCAAAACCACCAGUAGACAUAGAGGCUUGCUCAGCCUCAUCAAAAAAUGACUAGACAAAAACAUGCUUUGCAACACUCUGUUCAACCUCAAACUGAUAGCACCAUUACUAUUAAUGAUUGUGCCCUAAGAGAAUUGUUUCAAAGUGUUUGACGUAAUCCUCCUCAUUUUUAUCUUUGGAAGGCUCCUUUGGCCAUAGCUUCUCUGUAUAUGGCCAUGGUUUUCUACAGCACAGGUACUCCCACUUCACUGUUCUACUCUUCUCCACUAUAACUCUCUGGAGAACCGUUAAUUGUGUUUUGGCGUUUUCAUUGGUAUCAACCACAACAGUCAACACAGUAGCUUCUUUCUUUCCCUUCUGGUUCAAGAGAAGCAUGAUGAAAUCUUAACCCCUCACUCAAUGGAGUCAUUGUUGGGUUCAUUGGCAGAAACAUUUCUCCCUCUGUAACUUAGACUUCUUCUAGCAAGGCAGAUAAGAGAACAAGAAGCAACAUUUUGCCAGUGAAUCACUGGGGAGAGAACUUUUUCCUCCAGCACUUUUUUUAUCCUAAACUUGUGUAUUCUACUUGUGGAAUAGAAAAACACCAAAACUUUAAAUAUGCAAGGCUUUAGGCAUGCAGAACUUUUUAGGGAACCUUGCCCAGAUUCUAUAGAUGGAUGGUCCUAUUGGCUAUAUAGCUGGUCAAAAAUAUUAGGGAUUACAUCAUUCUCAGACUGCAUAGUCAUUGAAUAGUUCUAUACUCUGAGGGCAAAGACCCAAUCAUCAGUUUAGGAAAAUCUGGGGAAAUCCCAAUGUAUUCAUGAUGAAAAGCAUUUAACAAAGUCUCACUCUGAUAAAAACCAAGAAUAAAGCUCUCUGAUUUCUAUUCAACAUUAUUGGAGAUCACAGCCAGGCAAUUGCAUACUAGUGAUUUUUAAUAUUUUAUGUCAACCCAUCUCAUUCUUAGAUACUUAUAGGCUGUAGUCUGAGUGAACCAAAUUGCCACCAUCCACUGCUGGUGAGAUACACCUCAUUUAAUCAGUUGAAGGACUGAAUAGAAUAGAACCAGUACUUCUGGCUUUUCACUUGUUUGGGAACGGAAAAACAGCAGGUAUGAAUUAUACAGUUUCAGUUGUUACAUUUGCAUGGUCAAAGGGCAUAAAAGGAAAAUGACUCAAAAAUUGACUCAGAAAAUUUGGUGAUAAUGUCUGUGAAAACAACUCUCUUUUUGAGCAAAAUCCUGAAAAUAUUCCAUUUGAGUGCUCACUAAUCAGGUAUAUAAAAUGAUACAUUUGCCCGCUUUUUAUUAAUCAAUUAAGUAAUUUAUAUCCUAAAUGUUGUUCCCUAUCCCAGUUCCCCCUCCCAUAGCUCCUUCUCUUAUCCUCCUCCCCUUUCCCUUGGAGAGGGUGCCCUAUUCUUGUAUCCCCCUCACCCUGGUUCAUCACAUCUUUGAAGGAUUAGGCCCAUCCUCUCCCACUGAUGUCAGAAAAGACCGCCCUCUGCUACAUACGUAGCUUGAACCAGGAUGCAUAUGCUCUUUUGUUGGUCCAGAUAAGUUGGCACUGUUAGACUUCCUGUGGUGUUGCCAUACCCUUCAGAGACUUCAGUCCUUCCUCCUAAAUCUUCCAUAGGGGUACCCAGAGUCCACUCAGUGUUUGGCUGUGGGUAGAGCCUCCCAGAGGACAGCUAUACUAAGCUCCUUUCUGCAAGUACAACAGAGCAUCACCAAUAGAGUCAGGGAUUGGUGCCUGGCCAUGGGAUGAGGUUGGGCCAGUCAGCCAUUAUUUUCUGUCUCUGCUCCAUCUUUGUCUGUGCAUUUCUUUUAAAUAGGAAAAAUUUGGGGUCAAAAGUUUUGUAGGUGAUAAUUAUUGGAUAUUAGCCAAAAAUGUAGAGAGUACCCAUGAAACAUUCCACAGACCCACAGAAGGUAAACAAGAAGAAAGGCCCAAAUGAGGAUGCCCAGAUCCUUAGAAGAGGGAACAAAAUAGUUAUGGGAGAGAGGGAACUGGGUGAGAGAGGGGAGUGUAAGGGAAAUAGGGGGACAGGGUCAGGUAUGGGGAGAAUAAGGAGAAAGGCCCAGAGGGCCAGGAGAAUGAAUGGAAAUAUGUGGCUGCCAAGGGUGGGGGUGGAGAAUCUCUAGGAAGUCCUAGAGACCUCAGAUGGGGAGGCUCCCAGGAGUCAACGCAGAUGACCUUAGCCUAGAUGCCUAACAGUGGUACAUGGAUCCUGAGGAGACCACCUUCUGAAGCCAGGCAAGACCCCCAUGGAGGAAAAUAAUACAUAUUGUAGAUACCAGUAGAUUAUUUCCUCAAAGUUCCUUCUCAUCGCCUAAUGCUUAUCAAAACUAGAUAAAUAAGAAGAAAAACAUACAUAGAUAAUUAAUUCCUACUUUUAGAGCCUUCUAGGGGGAAAUAAGCCAUGUCCAGUAAAUGCUAAAAUAUCUUGAGAGCACAGGCAACAAGGCUGAAUUUUCAUAAAUAAUCAGCAAAGGUUUUAACCUUGACUUUAUUCUUCUGGAAAAAAAUGAAAGUUCUUAUGUUGAAUAUUGAUCCAGAUUUUUAUGAAAGAAUCUGGUCUUUUAAGGCAAAACCUUCAUGUUUUUUUUAAAUGAAAAAAUAAGUUUAUAUCUCUUUUGAAUAGCUGUAUCCAAAAUUAUGCAAUUAUGACAAUCCCAGUGACCUGAAAAAUUAUUUCAGACUUAGCACACAGCCUUUCCCAAAAGCCUAAAGGACAUUGAUGAGCUGCAUAACCACACAUGUCCACAUCCCACUGUGGCUAAUGUCAUUUGGAUGUAGUAUGCAUUACCUGUUUUUAGUGAAAUACUUUCUUCCUUUUCCACUCUUCCUUCUAGUAUUCACUGUUUUUGUAGUUGUCGUCUUCCUCCUCUUCCUCCUCCUCCUUCCUUCUCCUCCUCCUUUUUCUGUUCCUCCUCCUCCUCCUCCUCCUUCUUCUUCUUCUUCUCUUCCUCUUCCUCUUCUUUGUUUUUCUUCUUGAUUUAUUGUUGUAAUAAAGUUAAUGCUCUUCCCUUUCUUCCAAUCUUUCUACUCUCUUUCCUUCCCUCCCUUCAGUUCUUAUCUCUGCCCUGCCCUCCCUCCCUCCCUUCCCCUUAUUGCCCUCCUCUUUCCCUCUAUCCUUGCUUCCCAGCAGGUGGAAUUUAGAUCUUCAGACACACUAAGUAAGUGCUCUGUUAUUGACCUGUAUUAUCAACUCCAUAAUUAUUCAUUUCCUUCAUAUUCAAAUCUGACAGAUUUUAUUUCUUAAAUUAAUCUAAGAAUCAUGAUGGCCUCUAAAUUCUUUAUCUCCAGCUCUGGACUUUAUGUCUCAAUCCAAUUCAGACAUUUUUUGAACUCAUGAAAAAUAUAGAAAAAAUUUAAAUAUGUACAAAUUCCUCAAACACAUGCCAAAUUUGGCUGAAAUUUACAAAAUAAAUUAAAAUUUUAUUCAUACAGUUAUCCAGAAAAAGAAAACAGGAACUUAUGCUUUCAUAAUUCUUUUCACAUAGUAUAAUUUAACAAAACAUUUUGUAACAGACACCACAUACACACACACACACACACACACACACACACACACACACACACACACACAAUAGAUGGACAAACAGAAUGAGUCCCCUACCACAUUUCUAUAGCUGGAAAGAAUUGGUACUAACUCAAAUGAACAUCAGUGGAUUUUGAUAUGGUAGACACAGAGUUAUUAAGAUAAAUAUCACUUUAUCACUUAUUCUUAAAAGUUAGAAAGCAAAGCUGUGGACUGUUGCAGCUAGAAUUCUGACACAAUAUUAUUAAUAAAUAAGGUGCAUUCAUUUAAAUUUGGAAGGUAUAAAAGGGUGUUAUCUCCUUCAUCUCGUUUAUUUAUGUUAAAGAUUUGUUUACUUUUAUUUUAUAUGUAUAUUGGUGGUUUUGCCUGCGUAUAUUUGAGUGCUUGUAUGGAGAUGUGUAUGAUGUCCAUAGACACCAGAAGAGGGCUAUUUUAGGGUUUCCAUUGCCACAAAGAGACAUCGUGACCAAGGCAAGUUUUACAAAAGAAAACAUUUUAUUGAGGCUGCUUAUAGUUUCACAGGUUCAGUUCCAUCAUCAUUCUGGUUGGAAGCAUGGGAAUGUCCAAAGAAGACACGGUGCCGGAGGACUGGAUGGUUCUACAGAAGGAGCGAGGCUUAGCCUGAACACCAGAGACUGCAAAGCCAGCCACACAGGGACACACUUCCUCUAUGGAGGGUGUAACUCUGAAUAGUGCCACUCCUUAUGGGUCAAGCAUUCAAACACAUGAGUCUGUGGUGAGCACAUGUAUUUAAUCCACUACAAGGGCUCAUAGGUCUGCAGUUACAGAUUGUUAUGAGCCUCCUGGGUCUUCUGCUGUAAAAACCUGAGCCAUGUCUCUAGCCAUCCUCUCGUUGCUUGAGAAAACUUGUAGAAAGAUGCAAUUUUGCUGUUUGAAUGGAUUUCACAGCAGCAGUCUCCCAGAGCCCACUCUCCAGCUUCCUACACACUGAGCACUACUUUUGGUGGAACCAGUGGGAGGUGUUGUUUUGUUUUAAAUUCUGUACAGUAUAAGUUUUAAUUGGUCAGUUGGUUUUAUUAUUGUUGUUUUGAGAGGCAUUCCUGAAAAGCCUAGUGAUAAUCUUUCAUUUCAAGCCUGUCCAGUACUUUUAAGUCUAAUUCUACUUUAUCUGAAUAAUUGCAAUUUAUACAGUUGUUUACUUCUUAAACUGGAUCAAUUCUGAUAUAUACAGAAAGGCACCACUGAUGCAUAAAUGUACCAUUUUGUCCAAUGAAAGGAGUGAUGAAAUUCAGUAGUGAAAUCAUAGCUAGUCCUACAAUGGAACAACACAGCAAGUUUAAGAAAUGAACAGAGGAUAGAUUCAUGAAUGAGAAUCAAAUGUGAUUAUUAAUGCAAAUAGUACAAGUGAAGUCAAGUUUGAGAACAUGAAUGUAUCACAUAUAUAUAAUAUAAAAAAUUUUCUAUAUAUUUAGUGCACAUGAAAUUAACACUAAAAGUUUGUGACUUGCAAAAGAGAGGAGAGAAAAAGAUACAUACUCAAAAACAUCCUAGCCUUUUCUCAAAUGCAUCAAAGAAUUUUGAAUUUUCUGUAAAAUUUAAAGAAGGGCACGUUAAUGAUCUUUGAUUUGUAAGGAAUUUUAAAUUAUUAAAAGUUUAUGUUUUCAUCUAAUUCAAUCAUUGUGUUGUCUAAGGAGAAUUUCCUAUUGGUCUAAUCUUUUCUUUCUGUAUGGUACCAGGCAUUGAACUAAGGAGCUUUAUCAUUGAGGCAAGCAAGCAAACAUCCUACUGCAGAGCUACAACCCCAGUCCUGUUCUGUUUUAUUCUCACCAAUAUUCAUUAUGAGCUCAUUCUGUCAUUCACUGGGCCCCCAGGGCAUGGCUCUCUUCCCUUCUCUCUAAUAUAUAACCAAUGCAAUAGCCAUAUCUAAUUUCUUCAUUACACUUUAAUACUCCACUCACUUAUCUCCUUUUCUGCUGCACAUCCCUCUGUUUUCUCUAAUCUGAGUAAUUAGUAACACCUGAAGAGCUCUGAGAUCCUAGAGCAAUGGAGUGUCUGGGCAUGAUAAAUGGUUGGCAGUACAACUAUAUCAUAAGCCGGUUCACUUAUGUCCUUACUGAUGUUCAUUCCAUUGUGGGUUUUGUCUAUCUCUGAUUAUUUCUCCCCAUGAUGACCAAUUUAAAAUAUCUUCCUAGUCUUGGUUGACUAACCUUUCUUCUGCCAUCAAAUCACUUCAUGUACUAUUUUCUAAAGAAAGUAAGGCUCAACCUUUUUAAACACACAGGUUGAUUCUCAUCUUCCCACAUGUAAGACUCUGCCCUCUCUGAAGUAGCAUAAAGAUCAAGAGGUUGACCAUUUUGGAAAUGCCAUCUGAACCCUUGGGACCUUUUGAAACUGUAGGAAGAUAUUCUGAAAAUAAAGUUCACAUUUUGAAGGUAGUCAACAUAAGAUAAGAAAAAUCUAUGGAUCAACAGUGAUGGUAUUUAGUGUUUUAAUUAAGCAUGUCUAUAUCAGAAAUCCUAUAGUUGUAUAAAAGAAAUGAACAAUAUGGGAGUCUAUUAAGUUAUUUCUAAGUGCUUGCUGACAGGUGCCUAGUAUAGGUCUCCCCUGAGAGGCUCUGCCAGAGCUUGACCAAUAUGGAUGUAGAUGUACGCAGCCAAACGUCGGACUGAGCUCAGGCACCAAUGGAGCUCUUUCAGGGCAAGGACUGAAAGAGCUGAAGGGGUUUGCAACCACAUAGGGAGAACAACAAUAUCAACCAACCAGAUCCCCCACCCCAGAGCUCCCAGGGACUAAACUGCCAACCAAAGAAUACACAUGGAGGGACCCAUGGCUCCAACUGGAUGUGUAGCAGAGGAUUACCUUAUAUGACAUCACUGAGAGGGGAGCCACUUGGUCCUGUGGAUGCUGAAUGACCCAGGGUAGGGAAAUGCUAGAGCUCUGAUGCAGGGAGAGGGGAUAGGGAGAUUGUGGAGGGGAAACUGGGAAGGCAUAUGACAUUUGAUGUAAAUAAAUAAAAUAACCAAUAAAAAUAAAUAAAAGUUGUU